GCCUAGUUAGCUUAGUUGGUAGUGCGUCUGCCUUGUAAGCGCUAGGCCGUGGGUUCGAUUCCCACCCGGGGC
rfam:Asian citrus Psyllid, Diaphorina citri - Florida Strain, whole genome shotgun sequence.